GUGACUAGCGACCUUUACUACUUACGAAUAUAAAUUCAUAACGAUUAGGUGAAACAAACUUAUAUCCUAGAAUCAAAUUCAAGUAUGCAAAUUAAGCGUGCACUCUCAACCAACAUACAAGAAUAAGUUCUAAAUCAAACGGUUAAGCAAAUUGUAUUCACGACUCAUGCAACAAUAACCGAGAGUAAUCAAUUUAUUUCACAUAUAUAAUCAUGGUUUUGAAUCCACCCUUAGCCAAAACGAAUUUAGCUAAUCAUACUUAAAGCAAAACAAAGAUUACAUGAAUUAGACAUUGAAAUAUAAGAUAGAAAACACCUAAAAUCGUUCAACAACUCAGAAUGAAUAGCCAAACAAUCGUAGUGAAUUUGUCCCCUUCUUUGCUUGCGGCAGAUUGGGUUGUGAAGAUGUUUUGGGUAGUUUUAUGGUGUAGAAUGGAUGGGGAAUGGUAUGGAGAGGUUUAGGGUGAGUAUGGAGGAGUGUUUGAUGGUUGAAGGAUGGUAGAGAACUCGGCAAAGAGGGUGGAAUAAGGUGGAGUGGCUGUUAUGUUUUCUGGGCACUAGAAUGGUGUUUUUGGGUGUUUUGCUGCCUAGGGUGAGUAUGGACGAAUUUUCUGCAUGAAUGAUGAAUAUAGGAGGUUGAACCCUUUUCCAAGGGUUGUAAACAUGUAUAUAUAGGCCCCAAAAACCCUAGAGAAUCAGAUUAGGCAGUGGGGGAAAUGCACAGCAAGAAGGGUGAAUUUGUGGUGUGCAAUGGUCCAAGGAUGAAAAUGGAGCAAUGAUGCAAAGUAUGGAGGGUAAAAUG
rnacentral:lncRNA from 1 species